UGGUGUUUUUUUCUCUUCCUUUUUUACCAAAUGAGCUUUUGAAACUGCAGCUUGUUCUGAAUUCUGCACAGGUUCUUGUGGUUUUGUAACAAGUGGGACCUUUUGGGACUCUUUAACAGAAGCUGGAGUGCAACUUAUAGAAGCAGGUCCAUUGUCAAUUGUUUUAGGGGGAGGACUGCUUUUCCUCUCCUCAUAAGCAUGGUUUAUAUUCUUCAUUUGCUCAGGCACAGCACUCUCUGGCCCUGGUCUAAAAAAUGAAGCCUUCUCCUCACUCACCUUUGGAGGUGAUUUUGCUUUACCAUCCCUAGGAACCCAUCUCUUCUCUUCAUACUUUGCACG
rnacentral:misc_RNA from 1 species